rnacentral:lncRNA from 1 species
GAUGAAACAGUGAACUUCAGUUGUUGUUUUUUUGAUUUUUUUAUUUUUUCUUCUAUCUCCUUCUCUACCAAACAGUACAACUUGCAGUUUUGUAUUUUUGGAUUUUUCCUAUGAAUCUCUAGGCAUCCUAAUUUUUCCAGAUUUUCUCCUCUAAUUCUUCAGGUUUUCAGAAUGUCUAAGGCUUUGUAUUUUUCUGGAUAUUCAGCUCUCCAAAAC